AUUGAACGCUGGCGGCAGGCCUAACACAUGCAAGUCGAACGAGUGGCGGACGGGUGAGUAAUGUCUGGGAAACUGCCCGAUGGAGGGGGAUAACUACUGGAAACGGUAGCUAAUACAGCAUACCAUCGGAUGUGCCCAGAUGGGAUUCGCUAGUAGGUGGGGUAACGGCCCACCUAGGCGACGAUCCCUAGCUGGGCUGCGAGGAUGACCAGCCACACUGGAACUGAGACACGGACCAGACUCCUACGGGAGGCAGCCGUGGGAAAUAUUGCUCAAUGGGCGCAAGCCCGAUGCAGCCAUGCCGCGAGUAUGAAGACGGCCUUCGGGUUGUAAAGUACUUUCAGCGAGGAGGCGUUACUCGCAGAAGAAGCACCGGCUAACUCCGUGCCAGCAGCCGCGGUAAUAC
rnacentral:rRNA from 1 species